AGAGUUUGUAACACCCAAAGCCGGUGGCGUAACCUUUAGGGAGCGAGCCGUCUAAGGUGGGACAAAUGAUGAGGGUGAAGUCGUAACAAGGUAGCCGUAGGAGAACCUGCGGCUGGAUCACCUCCUUUCUAAGGAAACAGACUUUAAGUCUGACGGAAACCUGCACACACGAAACUUUGUUUAGUUUUGAGGGGACGACCCUCAAGCACCCUAGCGGGUGCGACUUUGUUCUUUGAAAACUGGAUAUCAUUGUUGUAAAUGUUUUAAAUUGCCGAGAACACAGCGUAUUUGUAUGAGUUUCUAAUUUAGAAAUUCGCAUCGCAUAACCGCUGACGCAAGUCAGUACAGGUUAAGUUACAAAGGGCGCACGGUGGAUGCCUUGGCACUAGGAGCCGAUGAAGGACGGAACUAAUACCGAUAUGCUUCGGGGAGCUAUAAGUAAGCUUUGAUCCGGAGAUUUCCGAAUGGGGGAACCCAGUACACAUCAGUGUAUUGCCUGUCAGUGAAUACAUAGCUUGUCGGCGGCAGACGCGGGGA
rnacentral:misc_RNA from 1 species